CUGGUGUUCGGGUUGUCAUGCCAAUGGCACUGCCCGGUAGCUAAAUGCGGAAGAGAUAAGUGCUGAAAGCAUCUAAGCACGAAACUUGCCCCGAGAUGAGUUCUCCCUGAGACUUUAGGUCUCCUGAAGGAACGUUGAAGACGACGACGUUGAUAGGCCGGGUGUGUAAGCGCAGCGAUGCGUUGAGCUAACCGGUACUAAUGAACCGUGAGGCUUAACCUUAC
rnacentral:rRNA from 1 species